UGCCUAACACAUGCAAGUGGAGCGACGAACCAGGGCUUGCCCUGGAGCAAAGCCGCGAACGGGUGAGUAACACGUGGGUAACCUACCCCAAUGACUGGGACAACCCGGAGAGAUUCGGGCUAAUACCGGAUGUGCUCGUCAUCCAUGAGGGUGAUGAGGAAAGGAAGCUUCGGCCUCCGCAUCGGGAGGGGCCCGCGGCCCAUUAGCUUGUUGGUGAGGUAACGGCUCACCAAGGCUGCGAUGGGUAGCUGGUCUGAGAGGACGAUCAGCCACACUGGGACUGUGACACGGCCCAGACUCCUACGGGAGGCAGCAGUGGGGAAUCUUGCGCAAUGCGCGAAAGCGUGACGCAGCAACGCCGCGUGGGGGAAGAAGGCCCUCGGGUUGUAAACCCCUUUCAGCAGGGACGAAGGUGUGGCGGUGAAUAGCCGACCACAUUGACGGUACCUGCAGAAGAAGCCCCGGCUAACUACGUGCCAGCAGCCGCGGUAAUACGUAGGGGGCAAGCGUUGUCCGGAAUUAUUCGGGCGUAAAGAGCACGUAGGCGGCCCGGUUAGUCCGCUGUAAAAGUCAACAGGCUCAACCUUUGAAAGCCGGUGG
rnacentral:rRNA from 2 species